AGAAACAAUGUCACACAGAAUCACACAGAUAUUUAUUUGCCUGGCUGACAUUGCAAGUUUCCUCCUCAUUCAGCCUAAAGUUUUGUAUAUACAUCAAAGAUGUUCACUUUGUUAUCUUCCUCCUCCUGCAGCUUCCUGUCUUAAUGUGUAAUAGUCAUAAUGAAGCCUGCCUUCAGCAAAGCAGCACCAGUGUGCACAAGGAUGGAGACAUGUUUUUGAGACAGUGACUUAUUGUGCUGACUAUGCUAGCAGCAAACUCCAGGACUCAAGAAUUCCCUCCACUUCAGCCUCUUGAGGAGCCUGCAUUACAGGUCUCCACCCGAACCAGCUGUGGAGGUGGAUUUGAGGGCGGGAGCUUUUCCUUUCGCGGACCUGCAGUUCAGCUGCUCUGACCACGUCCUCACAGCAACUGAACUGAACCUCACAGCAACUGAACUGAAUGGCUGCACGUCUCCUGUGAGCCUAGUCCUGCAUGAUUGCCUGAAUAAACAUAUGAAAAAAUGUUCAACAUCACUGGUCAAGCAAGAGAUGCAAAUGAAAACAAUGCUGAGAUUCCACCUCACUCCAGAAAGAAUGGCUGCUAUCAUGAAAUCAACCAAC
rnacentral:lncRNA from 1 species